UACGAAGGGGGCGAGCGUUGUUCGGAUUUACUGGGCGUAAAGGGCGCGCAGGCGGCGCAUUUUGUCAGGCGUGAAAGCCCCGGGCUUAACCCUGGGCUUGCAGUGGAUACGGGCAGACUAGAGGCAGGUAGGGGAGAAUGGAAUUCCCGGUGUAGCGGUGAAAUGCGCAGUUAUCGGGAGGAACACCGGUGGCGAAGGCGGUUCUCUGGGCCGAUACUGACGCUGAGGAGCGAAAGCGUGGGGAGCGAACAGG
rnacentral:rRNA from 1 species